UGAUUACUUGUUUCAAAAACUGUUUUUGAAAAAAGUUCUCAUUUUCAAUUCUUAAAACUAAAAAACAAGAACAGCUAAAAGAUGUUUUCAAUUUCUGUUUUAGUUUUCAAAUUAACAUUUUUCAACUGUUUGAAAACACCUUAUUUAAACAGUUUUCUUCUUGAAAAAAUAGUUUUCAAAAACAGUUUUGAAAACAGAAAACUAAAAACUGCAAUCAAACACACCCUCUGAGACUUUUACUGCAGAGGAAUUUCUGGCUCUUAGGAGCAACUUCAGCAAACAAGGUUACAGUCUCAGCCAGAACCAAAGGUUAAUCAAUCAGGUCAUUGUUGAGAGGAAGCAUUCUUCUCAUUCAGACAACAAAGACGUAUCAAAGUUUGAGGCAGGGGUUCUUGGCAGCAAACCUGCUUCUACACCUAGUGAUUCGAGUGUAAGAUUAACUCAAGAAGACAACAACUCUCAUAUCAUGAUGCAGCUCAGUAUAGACGAUUGAUUGGGAAGCUGUUGUACUUGACAAACACUAGGCUAGUUAUACAAUUUCCUGUUCAGCAAUUAAGUCAGUACAUAUCUUGCCCAACUACAACUCAUUAUCAAGCAGCUCAACGGGUCUUGAAGUACUUAAAAGGGAGUCCAGAAAAGGGAUUUUCUUUCCUCGUGAUUCAACUGUUCAGCUUAUCGGAUUUUCAUAUGCUGACUGUGGUGGAUGCAAAGAUACUAGAAAAUCGAUCGGUGGCUAUUGCUUCUUUUUAGGCAAAUCCCUUGUGAGCUGGCGUGCAAAGAAGCAAGUCACAGUAGGGCACUGGCAAGUGCUACUUGUGAGCUGCAAUGGCUCUCUUAGUUGGUACAUGAUUUGCAGAUUCACUGUUCUAAGAAAUCAGUCCUUUAUUGUGACAACAAGAGUGCACUUCUUAAUUCAUAUUGCUGCUAACGUCGUGUUUCAUGAAAGAACCAAGAAUUUGGAUAUUGACUGUCAUAUAGUGAGGGAGAAAACUCAAUGGUUUGGUGUUAUUAUUACCACCGACAAGCCAGGAUCAAACAGAAGAUCUCUUUACUAAGUCCCUUCUACACACUUCCAUUAUCUUGUGGCCAAGCUGAACAUGAUCAAUAUAUAUCAGGCUCAGCUUGAGGGGGCUGUAAAGCUAUUUAUGUAUCUGAUAACUAGUAAGUAGUUAGCUUCUAAAAUAAGAAAGUCAGUUAGAGGUUAGUUAGCUUGUUAACUCACUGUUAGGGUGUUAGUUGGAGGUUGUAACAGUUUCUGCUGAGCUGUCGUGUGAGCUGUUUUCUCAGGCAUAGUGUGCGAAUAGACUCUGUAUAAGCUCACCUUGUAACAGAAUUGAUUUAUUGAAUGAAAACCAGUUUCAUCUCAAAG